CCUACGGGAGGCUGCAGUGAGGAAUAUUGGUCAAUGGACGAGAGUCUGAACCAGCCAAGUAGCGUGAAGGAUGACUGCCCUAUGGGUUGUAAACUUCUUUUAUAAAGGAAUAAAACGAGGCACGUGUGCCUUUUUGCAUGUACUUUAUGAAUAAGGAUCGGCUAACUCCGUGCCAGCAGCCGCGGUAAUACGGGGGAUCCGAGCGUUAUCCGGAUUUAUUGGGUUUAAAGGGAGCGUAGAUGGGUUGUUAGGUCAGUUGUGAAAGUUUGCGGCUCAACCGUAAAAUUGCAAUUGAUACUGGUAGUCUUGAGUACAGUUGAGGUAGGCGGAAUUCGUGGUGUAGCGGUGAAAUGCUUAGAUAUCACGAAGAACCCCGAUUGCGAAGGCAGCUUACUAAACUGUGACUGACAUUGAUGCUCGAAAGUGUGGGUAUCAAACAGGAUUAGAUACCCGGGUAGUC
rnacentral:rRNA from 1 species